rnacentral:rRNA from 1 species
GCUUACGGCCAUACCACCCUGAGAACGCCCGAUCUCGUCUGAUCUCGGAAGCUAAGCAGGGUGGGGCCUGGUUAGUACUUGGAUGGGAGACCGCCUGGGAAUACCAGGUGCUGUAAGCU